rnacentral:lncRNA from 1 species
AGAAAACUAAAGCACAAUCCUAAUCCUUAAAGGAUAUAGAAAAUUCUAACAUUCUUGUCCCACAAGAAAACCAUAAACAAAAAUAAACUAAUAACUAAUUUUUCCAACACGUGUGACCCGCACGCACUAUCGAGGUUGUAAAUGACAGGGUUUAAAACCAGGUUCGACCGGCGUCCAUGCAUGCCUGCGCAUUUUUGCCAAAAGUUUAACAAUACUAACUGUUGCAGUACAUUUGUAUGCUGAUGUUGCUAUAUCGACCAUCUCGGUGUUCUCUGUGUGGGGCAGUUUCUAGCUGGGAUGACCCUCCCUGUGGAUCGCUUUAUGACCAGUGAUUUAAGGAUUGAAAUUCUCGGAGCCCUACUUCCCAUCCAACUCAUAUGGCUGUUCUCUGGGAUCUUGGUGUAUGAAGGCAUAGUGAAAACCAUUGACAACACAGCUGAGGUGCCGUUAAAAUGUUUUCUGAUGGCAUAGUUUGUCUUUGGGGAAGUGUGAUCAUGGCCUUACCUCUGGACCACGUUAACUGUUGAAGAACAAGAUGGUGAUUUUCGUCACAGCCACGAAAUGAAAUUUUCUAGUACUCGUAAUGAUCGUAAACGCUCACAUGAUCAUGAUGCUGCUGAUCAGCAUCAACCACUAUUGGAUAAGCCUUCACAAGAAAGAUACGAAAAGAUAAGGCAAAGGUGUAUAAAAGUACUCCGUUCAUGCUAUUACUGAUUUGCCCGGCAAUCAUAUUGGGCCUGAGGGGAAGGUUUUGUUUUGAUUUGCACCCUAUUUUUUCUUUGACUGUUCUGUGGAAGACUGUCAACAUGCUGCAUAACGUACAUGGUGUCGUGAUGGGAAGCACGCCUAGAGAGACUGAUGUGAAGAGGACUUGAAAAGAAGCUGUUGGAGAUGGAGGAAAUGGUGGCUGUAAAUGAAAUGCAUAUUGGUGCUAUCACAAUGCGAUUAGCCCUUCAGGCUUGCAAUGUGGAAAGACCAGAAUGGAUUAUAUCAGAGCUGGGUAUAGCUUCAGCAGUGUCAAUCUGCAAAUUGAUUGUUAGUGUUGGGUUCUAGAUUUGGAGGACAAAGUUGAUUGAUUAUAGAAACCUUUGUUUGUUUGCAUCACCAAGAUUUUUUGUUUCCUCCAGAUUUCUCGUCGUCCCCGACUUUCGAUUUUUCGUUUUCUGGUUGUUGUCUCUCUUUAAUUGUACAUCGGACAGACCUUUUAAGGGCAGGAUGUUCCUUAUUUAUUAAAGGGUGAAUUGUUGAUAUAGUAUCGAGU